GGGGCUGACUGGCUUUGACAGCGAGAUGGGCCUUUGUGUAAGCAUGCAGUGAGACGUCACCUAUCACUAUAAUCCACGAUGGCGAAAUAUAAUUGGCGAGACAAACUACGCUCUUGCUGCCUAAUCGAAGUACAGUAGAUUACUGGCUUAAUCGGCCGCCCAGGCGCGGCUGACAAGACAUCACCCCAAGGUCGUUGUUCCGAGACUGAGGAACCGGUGGUGCAGGUAAAUCGGGACUAAUCAGGGUUGGCCGCGCGGCCUUGGUGAAAUCUUAGCGGAUACGGAGUCACUUGGUGGUCUGGGUCUUGGUGCCUCCCGACAAUUUAGGCCAGAAUAAGCAUGUAGAAAGCGCAGAUGUUCCUCGUUUGGACGAGGGUUCGAACCCCUCCAGCUCCACAG
rnacentral:tmRNA from 1 species